rnacentral:rRNA from 1 species
AAUACCCCAUGGUAUGUAGAUGCUGCAUGGCAUUUAUAUUAAAGAUUUAUCGGUAGAAGAUGGGCAUGCGUAGGAUUAGCUAGUUGGCGGGGUAACGGCCCACCAAGGCGAUGAUCCUUAGGGGUUCUGAGAGGAAGGUCCCCCACACUGGCACUGAGAUACGGGCCAGACUCCUACGGGAGGCAGCAGUAGGGAAUAUUGGGCAAUGGGCGGAAGCCUGACCCAGCCAUGCCGCGUGCAGGAAGAAUGCCCUCUGGGUUGUAAACUGCUUUUAUCAGGGAAGAAAAGGCCCAUGCGUGGGACAUUGCCGGUACCUGAUGAAUAAGCACCGGCUAACUCCGUGCCAGCAGCCGCGGUAAUACGGAGGGUGCAAGCGUUGUCCGGAUUUAUUGGGUUUAAAGGGUGCGUAGCUGCGGAUUAAGUCAGCGGUGAAAGUUUGGGGCUCAACCUUAAAAACGCCAUGAUACUGGUUUGCUUGAUGCCGGUGGGUACAUGGAAUUUAUGGUGUAGCGGUGAAAUGCAUAGAUACCAUAAGGAACACCGAUGGCGUAUGCUUGUACUUACCGGCUGACGCUGAUGCACGAAAGCGUGGGGUAGCAAAAAGAAUAUACCCUGGUAGUCCCAACGAUGAUUACCUGUUUGCAAUGGGUGAGGAACGU